UAGAUUUCCAAAAAGACUUGCUGGUUCUGUUGGGAGAUUCUUAUCAUCAUCAGUCCUGCAGUUGCUGGACCUGAUUGUUUCACCAACAGUUUUGAGUCCUGUAACCAACUUGGCACCAGAUGUCCAGAAACUCCAACAUCUAGUGUGGUUCUUCUUGAUCCAAGUGACAACUGGUCCUGGUAAAAGUUUCUGAACUUCCAUUUGGAAAGCAGAGAUUAUUGCUGCAUUACAAAAGUCUCUUGGUGGAUUUCAGCCUGAAAUACUAGAGUAGAGUAUUCUGAAUAUUGUAUUUGAGAUUAUUUGUCAAUUAUUUAGGUGAGCACAAUAAGAUGUCCGUUUAUAUUAUCAUAAACUCUAUCAUAUUCAUCAUCUGCUGUAUUGGAGUUCUGUUAAAUGGAAUCAUUAUCCGGCUUCUUGGAUUCCAAAUUAAGAGAAAUCCUUUCACCAUAUUGAUUCUUAAUUUAGCAAUUGCUGACAUUGGGUUCCUCGCAAUUUGUGGAAUAUCUUGCAUUUUUUAUUUUAUAUAUUUUAUAGGAUUAAAAAUUCCCUUGAUGA